GAUGAACGCUGGCGGCGUGCCUAAUACAUGCAAGUCGAGCGAACAGACGAGGAGCUUGCUCCUCUGACGUUAGCGGCGGACGGGUGAGUAACACGUGGAUAACCUACCUAUAAGACUGGGAUAACUUCGGGAAACCGGAGCUAAUACCGGAUAAUAUAUUGAACCGCAUGGUUCAAUAGUGAAAGACGGUUUUGCUGUCACUUAUAGAUGGAUCCGCGCCGCAUUAGCUAGUUGGUAAGGUAAUGGCUUACCAAGGCAACGAUGCGUAGCCGACCUGAGAGAGUGAACGGCCACAUUGGAACUGAAACACGGUCCAGACUCCUACGGGAGGCAGCAGUAGGGAAUCUUCCGCAAUGGGCGAAAGCCUGACGGAGCAACGACGCGUGAGUGAUGAAGGUCUUCGGAUCGUAAAACUCUGUUAUUAGGGAAGAACAAAUGUGGAAGUAACUAUGCACGUCUUGACGGUACCUAAUCAGAAAGCCACGGCUAACUACGUG
rnacentral:rRNA from 1 species